AUUGAACGCUGGCGGCAGGCCUAACACAUGCAAGUCGAGCGGAUGAAGGGAGCUUGCUCCUGGAUUCAGCGGCGGACGGGUGAGUAAUGCCUAGGAAUCUGCCUGGUAGUGGGGAUAAGGGCCGGAAAGGGGGGCCAAUUACGCUAACGUCCCGUAGGACAAACGGGGGGAAUCUUGGGACCUACGGAACUUGAGCGACCUAGGUCGGAUUAGCUAGUUGGUGGGGUAAAGGCCUACCAAGGCGACGAUCCGUAACUGGUCUGAGAGGAUGAUCAGUCACACUGGAACUGAGACACGGUCCAGACUCCUACGGGAGGCAGCAGUGGGGAAUAUUGGACAAUGGGCGAAAGCCUGAUCCAGCCAUGCCGCGUGUGUGAAGAAGGUCUUCGGAUUGUAAAGCACUUUAAGUUGGGAGGAAGGGCAGUAAGUUAAUACCUUGCUGUUUUGACGGUACCAACAGAAUAAGCACCGGCUAACUUCGUG
rnacentral:rRNA from 1 species